GCUGUUUGGCACCCGAGAGCUGUCACAUAGCAGUGCAAGAAGUAAAGAGAAAAAGGGGAGAGCCAAAAUAACAUAAUUACUUCUUCACAGCUAGGAUAUGUCUCUACCAGAUUACACUGAACUACCUGAGGAUGACUGGAAACAGAGAUAGUGGUAAUUAUUAAGGUCUUACUAUGAGGCACUCUUAGUCUUCAAUUAUCAUUAUUCCUAUUUUAAAGAUGAAGAAACUGAGAUACCCAGAGCUUAAUGUUAUGUGUCUGGUGAGUAACAGGGCCAGGAUUCAAGCCAUGCAGUCUUCUUCCAGGGACCCACACCCUUAACCAUUAUGUCUGAUGACCUCGGGUUAUAGGAAAGGAAGAGCCUCACAAGUUAUUGAUGGAUUUUGUUCAUUUGUUUGUUUCUGCUGACUAUAGUUAAAUUAUAUCAAGGCUUUAAAGACUAAAACAGGAUGGAUUUCUAAUUUGACAGUUAACUGCUAAGGGAGCAAAAACUGAAUUGUGUAGUGGAGACCUGGCUACCAAGAUGGACAUGUUCCAGUCACAGGCAUAGAGAAAGUUCUCUGUUUGGUGCCCAUCAACUUAAGUCCUUCCUUAUACCUGGCAGUGUCACCAUCUUUCACAGUCACAGAUUCUGCCACUUUGGCCAGGCGUCUCAUUAGUCCCACCCCUCAUCACAAAAGAGUCUACUGGGGACAGGUCAGCACAAACCCACCAACGUGACCAGAAGCAUAACUCACAGAACCUAUCCUGCUGGCAGAGGGGAGCAAGGGCACCAAGGACAGCCUCAUCCCCUGGAGAAAUGUCCUCAUUUGCCAGGAUGCCUCAUUGGCUGCUUGAAUUGGUUGGACUCAGGAAGUCUAUUAGCUCUGAGUCCAGAGCUGUUGUUUGAGACUCAAGAUGAAAAAGGAGGCAAUUUCUACAUUUAUCUAAUGCACAGCUAAGAGUGGAGGUUGGGUGAACCUGAUUUCAAAAGCAAACUGAGUAUUAAAUUUCACCACUUUUUAAAGCGCUGACGUGAUGUAAGGAUGCUGUCAUUGUUGGCUAACAAUUUUCUUAGGUCUAAUUUGGGUCAUUAAAGGUGACAUGAAGCUCCUCUGGGCUCACAGCAUUGUGCUGUAAGCACUGUAGCUAUGCUGUGUCACAACGCAAAAGCAUCGUGCCACAGUAAGCAAGUGUGAUAGGUUUUGUCACCACAUUAGGUCUGCCUUGGAGAGGUCAGCAAAACGUGCUUGCCAGAAAUUCAUCUUAUCAUCAGAGUACAACCUUCAGGCUGCCUGGAUCUAUGCCCCACCUCUGCCAUUUACUAGCUGUGUGACUGGGCAGUUACUUUCCCUCUCUGUCCUUUGGUUUCCUUACUUGUAACAGGGACAGAAAAAUAUUUCCUACUUUUAGGGCUGCUGUGAGGAUCAAAGAAGUUAAUUCAUGCCAACUGCUUGUAAGAGUUCCUGGCAUGUUUUGCCACACACUUCAAUCUUGGAUUAAAGAACUUGCCAUUCAGUUGAACUUACGGUAUUUCUGCCUGAGCGCCCCUCAGCCUGCCCUCUGAAAUAGGGUAUGUAGGGAAUAUCAGUUUGCUUACUUACUGGGACACUGCUAUAUACAAAGCCAUGUUUAUCUAAUUCUUCUCUAUUUUGCUCAUGUACAGUUUUUCUAAGUAUUUACAAGCAAAGGGACCUCAC
rnacentral:lncRNA from 10 species